CAUCUUCUUCAUUCCCCAGCCGAAAACAGCCACCAGUUUCUUCCUUUCUUGCUUCAAAAAAAAAUACAAAAGCUGCCCGUGGUCAUGGUGAUCUUGUUUCUCCAAAUUUUCUUGCUAGCGACCAAGAAAUAGUAUAAAUGCUUAGAUAGCUGAAGAUUAUCCAUGGAAUGCAAAAACAAUGGAAAAGUUCGACUUUAUUCCCAAUUUCAGUAUUAGGUUUUCUGUUACUUUAUUAAUGAAAUUAGGGAUUUCUGAGUAUUUUUUGUGGUUUUUGUUUUUGGGGUUUAGCAAUGGGAAUCCAGUGGAAUCAAUGGAUAUAGAUUAAACGGGUGAUGAAGAUCAGGAAUUGAUGUUCUUGUGCAUGUGAUAGUGGUGGUGGUGGUAAAGAGUGGAAUGAGUCGGAUGCUGGUAGUGGUGAAGAGGGGAGUGAGAUAUAAUUGGAUGCGCAGGUAAAUUCUCCCUUCAAAAUUAUCUUGUUUCUAGGCUACUUAGCUAAGGCUAAAGGUCCAUUUAAUUGUAAUUCCGAUAAAAAGAUCUAUUAGUAAGCAUCUAAAUCUAUCAAUCGCUGGAGCGUGCUUCAAAAAAUAAAAAAAAAUCACUGUAACGUGAUAAGCAUCAUCGACAUAAAUGAUUAUCCCACUAUUUUUAGAUUUCACUUGAAUGUAAUGGGAAAAAAAUUUGAUCUGUUAUUUAUGAAGCUGAUACUAAAAGCUUAGAUUCUUAUGGAAAAAAGUAAUGGUCGGUGGCCAGAAAUUGUAGUUUGUACUAAUACAUAACCUGUGCUACGCACCGGAUCAGAUGGGAGUUGAUUUAUUUUUAGAUUUGAAUCGGAUUCAGUUGUUUGAUUGUAUUAGGUUUAUUUGAUUAUGUAAUAGCUUUGUGCAAUGGGGUUUCUGUAGAUGUUUGAUUAAUGGGGUUUCAACAGUGGCGUUUUAACAAAUGUUUGAAUUGUUUGAUUAA